rnacentral:rRNA from 1 species
AUUGAACGCUGGCGGCAGGCCUAACACAUGCAAGUCGAACGGUAGCACAGAGGAGCUUGCUCCUCGGGUGACGAGUGGCGGACGGGUGAGAAAUGUCUGGGGAUCUGCCCGUUAGAGGGGGAUAACCACUGGAAACGGUGGCUAAUCCCGCAUAACGUCGCAAGACCAAAGCGGGGGACCUUCAGGCCUCUACCUAUCGGAUGAACCCAGAUGGGGUUAGCUAGAAGGCGGGGUAACGGCCCACCUAGGCGACGAUCCCUAGCUGGUCUGAGAGGAUGGCCAGCCACACUGGAACUGAGACACGGUCCAGACUCCUACGGGAGGCAGCAGGGGGGAAUAUUGCACAAUGGGCGCAAGCCUGAUGCAGCCAUGCCGCGUGUAUGAAGAAGGCCUUCGGGUUGUAAAGUACUUUCAGCGGGGAGGAAGGCGAUGUGGUUAAUAACCGCAUUGAUUGACGUUACCCGCAGAAGAAGCACCGGCUAACUCCGUGCCAGCAGCCGCGGUAA